rnacentral:lncRNA from 1 species
AAAUGGUGAGUGGUGUGACCAAUACCACUACGAAGGUUGGUAAUUGCCAGCUGACUAAUGUUUUCCAUAUAUAAUAGCCGGUGAAUUUAGUUCUGGUUUCUUUGUGUCUAAACUUGGUCACAUAUUUGAAAUUUGAACAGAUCUCAUUUCGUAUCUUACAUGUACUCUCUGAAAAUUCUGCAACACAAAUAUUAUGAACAUCUAUAUAUAACUUAUAUCAUCCCCGUUCUCACUAGUUGGAUGUAUGAAUUGUAGACACUAAAAAGAAUAAAAACUAACUGUAACGAAUAAAAAACUUGAAACUUGUGAUAAACGGAAUGAUUGAUGGACGACAAUUUUACACGGUUUAACUACUAAAAGAUUGUCUAGUGCUUAUACAUUUUCCAUUUAAAAUGAUAACAUAUUUUAGAAUACUAUCUAUGAUCGAGUUAUUCUUGGGUUCACCCACCGACCAAUAGAAAUUAGUUAUUUCAUAUUUAGUAUCUAAAAAAACAAAAUAUUGUUAAUUUAUAUCAUAAUUUUAAAAUAAUAAAAAAUAAAAAUAAAUAAAAAAUAGUACUAGUUGCAAAAAAAAAAAUUUUAAAAAAUUAUUUUUAAAAAUGUCAGCAAAACACUAAACCCUAAACCUUAAAUCAUAAACCCUUGGGUAAACUAUAAACCCUUGGAUAAAUCCUAACCAUAAAUCAAAAACAAUAAACACUAAAUGUUAAAACAAUAAACCCUUAAACCCUUGGGUUUAGUGUUUUUAAGAUUUAGUUUUUAGUAUUUUUGAUUUAGAGUUAGGAUUUAUCCAAGAGUUUAUGUAUGGUUUAUCAAAGGUUUACAGUUUAUCCAAGGGUUUAGGGUUUAGUGUUUUGCUAACGGUGUUAAAAAUAUUUUUUUAAAAUUCUUGUAUUUGUUUUUGCAACUAGUACUAUUUUAUUUAUUUAUUUUGACUUUUUAUUUUAAUUUUAAAAUAAUGAUAUAAAUUGAUAAUAUUUUAUUUUAUUUUUUAAAAGAUACUGAAUAUGAAAUAAUUAAUUCCUAUUGGUUGGUGAACCUAGAUUCACCAAAAGGUGAACUCAAG